rnacentral:rRNA from 1 species
GUCCACCGAUUGACUAAGGUUUCCAGAGGAAGGCUCGUCCGCUCUGGGUUAGUCGGGUCCUAAGCUGAGGCCGACAGGCGUAGGCGAUGGAUAACAGGUUGAUAUUCCUGUACCACCAAUAUUCGUUUUAAGCGAUGGGGGGACGCAGUAGGAUAGGCGAAGCGUGCUGUUGGAGUGCACGUCCAAGCAGUGAGAUUGAGUGUUAGGCAAAUCCGGCACUCAUUAAGAUUGAGCUGUGAUGGGGAGAGGAAAUUGUUUCCUCGAGUCGUUGAUUUCACACUGCCGAGAAAAGCCUCUAGCUAGAAUAUCGGUGCCCGUACCGCAAACCGACACAGGUAGUCAAGAUGAGAAUUCUAAGGUGAGCGAGCGAACUCUCGUUAAGGAACUCGGCAAAAUGACCCCGUAACUUCGGGAGAAGGGGUGCUCUUUGGGGUUCACGCUCUGAAGAGCCGCAGUGAAUAGGCCCAAGCGACUGUUUAUCAAAAACACAGGUCUCUGCUAAACCGUAAGGUGACGUAUAGGGGCUGACGCCUGCCCGGUGCUGGAAGGUUAAGAGGAGUGGUUAGCGCAAGCGAAGCUACGAAUCGAAGCCCCAGUAAACGGCGGCCGUAACUAUAACGGUCCUAAGGUAGCGAAAUUCCUUGUCGGGUAAGUUCCGACCCGCACGAAAGGCGUAACGAUUUGGGCACUGUCUCAACGAGAGACUCGGUGAAAUCAUAGUACCGGUGAAGAUGCCGGUUACCCGCGACAGGACGGAAAGACCCCGUGGAGCUUUACUGUAGCCUGAUAUUGAAAUUCGGUACAGUUUGUACAGGAUAGGUAGGAGCCUUAGAAGCGUGAGCGCUAGCUUACGUGGAGGCACUGGUGGGAUACUACCCUAAUUGUAUUGGAUUUCUAACCCGCAGCACUUAUCGUGCUGGGAGACAGUGUCAGGCGGGCAGUUUGACUGGGGCGGUCGCCUCCUAAAGUGUAACGGAGGCGCUCAAAGGUUCCCUCAGAAUGGUUGGAAAUCAUUCAUAGAGUGUAAAGGCAUAAGGGAGCUUGACUGCGAGACCUACAAGUCGAGCAGGGUCGAAAGACGGACUUAGUGAUCCGGUGGUUCCGCAUGGAAGGGCCAUCGCUCAACGGAUAAAAGCUACCCCGGGGAUAACAGGCUUAUCUCCCCCAAGAGUUCACAUCGACGGGGAGGUUUGGCACCUCGAUGUCGGCUCAUCGCAUCCUGGGGCUGUAGUCGGUCCCAAGGGUUGGGCUGUUCGCCCAUUAAAGCGGUACGCGAGCUGGGUUCAGAACGUCGUGAGACAGUUCGGUCCCUAUCCGUCGUGGGCGUAGGAAAUUUGAGAGGAGCUGUCCUUAGUACGAGAGGACCGGGAUGGACAUACCUCUGGUGUACCAGUUGUCGUGCCAACGGCAUAGCUGGGUAGCUAUGUAUGGACGGGAUAAGUGCUGAAAGCAUCUAAGCAUGAAGCCCCCCUCGAGAUGAGAUUUCCCAACUUCGGUUAUAAGAUCCCUCGAAGAUGACGAGGUAAAUAGGUUCGAGGUGGAAGCGUAGCGAUACGUGGAGCUGACGAAUACUAAUCGAUCGAAGACUUAAUCAAAUU